AUUGAACGCUGGCGGCAGGCCUAACACAUGCAAGUCGAGCGGAUGAGAAGAGCUUGCUCUUCGAUUCAGCGGCGGACGGGUGAGUAAUGCCUAGGAAUCUGCCUGGUAGUGGGGGACAACGUUUCGAAAGGAACGCUAAUACCGCAUACGUCCUACGGGAGAAAGCAGGGGACCUUCAGGUCUUGCGCUAUCAGAUGAGCCUUGGUCGGAUUAGCUAGUUGGUGAGGUAAUGGCUCACCAAGGCGACGAUCCGUAACUGGUCUGAGAGGAUGAUCAGUCACACUGGAACUGAGACACGGUCCAGACUCCUACGGGAGGCAGCAGUGGGGAAUAUUGGACAAUGGGCGAAAGCCUGAUCCAGCCAUGCCGCGUGUGUGAAGAAGGUCUUCGGAUUGUAAAGCACUUUAAGUUGGGAGGAAGGGCAGUAAGUUAAUACCUUGCUGUUUUGACGUUACCGACAGAAUAAGCACCGGCUAACUCUGUGCCAGCCGCCGCCGUAAUAC
rnacentral:rRNA from 1 species